rnacentral:tRNA from 1 species
GCACCGUUAGAUCAAUUGGAUAGAUCGUUUGGCUACGGACCAAAAGGCUAGGGGUUCGAGUCCUCUACGGUGCG